AAGAAAAAUGGAUGCCGUUCAGACGUACACGCAUUAUUUGGAACUGAAAAUUACGUAAUUUAUCGACCUGCUGGCUUGUAUUUGUUAUAAAUCAUAAAAAAAUUAUGGAAAACAUCAUGAACAAUAAUGAAACAAACCGAACCUUUAGCUACAAUAAUAAAAUGACCCCAUGACGCCAGUGGAACUACGUGGUUUUCUUUCAUGAUGAUUUGAUGAUACCAUAAUGGAAUUAGCCAAGUUUUCGCCGUAUUGGGUGCUAGAUGCCCCUUGGAGUUAAGCCCCAGUGCCACUAUACUACCUUACCAGUUAUGUGUGGGUGUUGUAGUCCUAAGACACCCCGGAGGUACAAAGGGCCUUCACAAACUCACGCCACGCCUUCCUAUCUUCAGCAACCCUCGUGACCUCGCUCCACCAGCUCAAACCUGCCAGUCGCAGCUCAUUUUUCGACGGACCGUUUCCAUGAGUAGACAAGGCACCGACGAUCACGGCUUGCAUCACCUGUACUGCUUCGUAAUAUAGUAUGCUGAACACCGCUGCCAUUAUACUAGGAACAACGUCCUGCCCCUUCCCCGGCUGCGCACAAAUUGGAACUCCAUUGGCAUGCCCCUUUGACUGAGCAACUUGUGUAUGUGUGUGUGCUCGAAACACAUUCACUUGCAACAGAAUGACUCCCAGGCUGAUCUGGCUCAGUUCCUGUAUGUCUGAUCUACAUAGACAAUGGUGUGAAAGAGUGAAAAUUCUUCUCCAUGUACAAUCACUUCUAACGCCUACACUGACUACACCAGAUAUGAUCAUCCCUCAACGUGUCCCACAUAAAGAUACCUUUCAAAAGUCAUCAGGAAGAACAUAAUAUCUUUUCCCAUAUUUGCCUGAAUAAUCCUAACUAAAAGUUAUUUCUCUAUUCUAUUUUUCCUGCAUGGAGUGGCGCUUUUCCGUCUAAUGGAACCAACAAGAACAUGUAUGCUCUGGGUUUUUUUUGUGCACCUUUCCAACAUUACUAAUAAAGCAUUU
rnacentral:lncRNA from 1 species